rnacentral:rRNA from 1 species
CCUACGGGCGGCACCAGUAGGGAAUCUUCGGCAAUGGACGAAAGUCUGACCGAGCAACGCCGCGUGAGUGAAGAAGGUUUUCGGAUCGUAAAACUCUGUUGUUAGAGAAGAACAAGUAGGAGAGUAACUGCUCUUACCUUGACGGUAUCUAACCAGAAAGCCACGGCUAACUACGUGCCAGCAGCCGCGGUAAUACGUAGAUGGCAAGCGUUGUCCGGAUUUAUUGGGCGUAAAGCGAGCGCAGGCGGUCUUUUAAGUCUGAUGUGAAAGCCCUCGGCUCAACCGGGGAGGGUCAUUGGAAACUGGGGAACUUGAGUGCAGAAGAGGAGAGUGGAAUUCCACGUGUAGCGGUGAAAUGCGUAGAGAUGUGGAGGAACACCAGUGGCGAAGGCGACUCUCUGGUCUGUAACUGACGCUGAGGCGCGAAAGCGUGGGGAGCAAACAGGAUUAGAUACCCCAGUAGUC